rnacentral:lncRNA from 1 species
UCCAAGUUGUUUCUUCACUAUAGGAGAAUCAAGAGGUUCGAAGUUUGUUUUCACCCACUGUUUCUUACUAGGAACAUGAUAUAUCAUAGGCUUGUAAGCCUCUCUAUAGACCUCCUUCCUAUAAUAGUAGCUAAUGUACAUCUUGAGAUAUUGCUUUAAAGCAUAUAUGGCAGCAAUUGCAUGCUUACAAGGAUCUCCUAUGAGUUUUCAUUUGUAAUAUGUACAAGACUAUUUGUUUAGGUCAACACAAAAUGUUCUACUAGAACAACUCAUUUGGUACACCAAAUUUUCAGCAUAUGUAGGCAAACACAUAUGUGGUGCUGCUUUCUCUUCUUCAAGCAUCUCUUAUGUACUUGGGAUAAUUUUCUAUCUCAUGCUCUUACUCUCAUCUCAUUUCAUCUGAAAUCUUUGUAUAAGGAUAGUUUUAAUCACUCUGCCAUUGUGAGGAUUGCCUUAUCCCUUGCCUUCAAUAUGUAGAAAUUAAAAGACUCACAAAAGUUGUUCACAAUCAGAUCUACCUUGCUCCUUAGGUAGAAUAUGCAUCUUGCCCAUAUCUUCUUUGUUAUGCUAGCCAGAUAGUCAUAAGCUAACAUGGAUUUCACCUUUAGCUUCUUCAUAGCUAUGUUGAAAUCAAACUCUGUAUAUGCACAAGCUGCCAUCCAUAUGUCAUCUUCCAAAGCAUUGUCUCUGUGUCUUUUAUCCCU